rnacentral:rRNA from 1 species
UACCAUGGCUUUAACGGGUAACGGAGGAUUAGGGUUCGAUUCCGGAGAGGGAGCCUGAGAAACGGCUACCACAUCUAAGGAAGGCAGCAGGCGCGUAAAUUACCCAAUCGCGACUCGCGGAGGUAGUGACAAGAAAUAACGGACCGAAGCCUAUGUUUCGGGAUUGCAAUGAGUAGAAUUUAAACCCCUUUACGAGGAUCAAUUGGAGGGCAAGUCUGGUGCCAGCAGCCGCGGUAAUUCCAGCUCCAAUAGCGUAUAUUAAAGUUGUUGCAGUUAAAAAGCUCGUAGUUGGACUUCUGGGAGGGUGCCAAUGUCCGUUCGAUAACGUGUGCAGCGGCGCCCUUCCAUCCUUCUGUUAACGUUUCUUGGUAUUCAGUUACUGGUUUCGGGCUCAGAUAUUUUACCUUGAGAAAAUUAGAGUGUUUCAGGCAGGCUUGCGCCGGAAUACAUUAGCAUGGAAUAAUAGAAUAGGACUUUAGUCUCCUUUGUUGGUUUGAGGGACUGAAGUAAUGAUUAAUAGGGAUAGUUGGGGGCAUUCGUAUUUAAUUGUCAGAGGUGAAAUUCUCGGAUUUGUUAAAGACUAACUUAU